GACGAACGCUGGCGGCGUGCCUAAUACAUGCAAGUAGAACGCUGAAGAGAGGAGCUUGCUCUUCUUGGAUGAGUUGCGAACGGGUGAGUAACGCGUAGGUAACCUGCCUGGUAGCGGGGGAUAACUAUUGGAAACGAUAGCUAAUACCGCAUAAAAUUGAUUAUUGCAUGAUAAUUAAUUGAAAGAUGCAAUUGCAUCACUACCAGAUGGACCUGCGUUGUAUUAGCUAGUUGGUGAGGUAACGGCUCACCAAGGCGACGAUACAUAGCCGACCCGAGAGGGUGAUCGGCCACACUGGGACUGAGACACGGCCCAGACUCCUACGGGAGGCAGCAGUAGGGAAUCUUCGGCAAUGGGGGGAACCCUGACCGAGCAACGCCGCGUGAGUGAAGAAGGUUUUCGGAUCGUAAAGCUCUGUUGUAAGAGAAGAACGGGUGUGAGAG
rnacentral:rRNA from 1 species